UGAGUAACCUGCCCUUAACUCUGGGAUAAGCCCGGGAAACUGGGUCUAAUACCGGAUAUGACCUCCUGUCUCAUGGCGGGUGGUGGAAAGUUUUUUCGGUGGGGGAUGGACUCGCGGCCUAUCAGCUAGUUGGUGUAGGUAAUGGCCCACCAAGGCGACGACGGGUAGCCGGCCUGAGAGGGUGACCGGCCACACUGGGACUGAGACACGGCCCAGACUCCUACGGGAGCAG
rnacentral:rRNA from 1 species